rnacentral:rRNA from 1 species
UACAGAGGUCCCGAGCGUUGUUCGGAUUCACUGGGCGUAAAGGGUGCGUAGGUGGCAUGGCCAGUUUGAUGUGAAAGCUCAGGGCUUAACCCUGAAAUGGCAUUGAAUACUGCUGUGCUGGAGGUUUGGAGGGGGGACUGGAAUUCUUGGUGUAGCAGUGAAAUGCGUAGAUAUCAAGAGGAACACCAGUGGCGAAGGCGAGUCCCUGGACAACAUCUGACACUGAGGCACGAAAGCCGGGGGAGCAAACAGG